UACGAAGGGGGCGAGCGUUGUUCGGAAUUACUGGGCGUAAAGGGCUCGUAGGCGGCCAACUAAGUCAGACGUGAAAUCCCUCGGCUUAACCGGGGAACUGCGUCUGAUACUGGAUGGCUUGAGAUUGGGAGAGGGAUGCGGAAUUCCAGGUGUAGCGGUGAAAUGCGUAGAUAUCUGGAGGAACACCGGUGGCGAAGGCGGCAUCCUGGACCGGUAUUGACGCUGAGGCGCGAAAGCCAGGGGAGCAAACGGG
rnacentral:rRNA from 1 species